rnacentral:rRNA from 1 species
AUUGAACGCUGGCGGCAGGCCUAACACAUGCAAGUCGAGCGGAUGAAGGGAGCUUGCUCCUGGAUUCAGCGGCGGACGGGUGAGUAAUGCCUAGGAAUCUGCCUGGUAGUGGGGGAUAACGUCCGGAAACGGGCGCUAAUACCGCAUACGUCCUGAGGGAGAAAGUGGGGGAUCUUCGGACCUCACGCUAUCAGAUGGGCCUAGGUCGGAUUAGCUAGUUGGUGGGGUAAAGGCCUACCAAGGCGACGAUCCGUAACUGGUCUGAGAGGAUGAUCAGUCACACUGGAACUGAGACACGGUCCAGACUCCUACGGGAGGCAGCAGUGGGGAAUAUUGGACAAUGGGCGAAAGCCUGAUCCAGCCAUGCCGCGUGUGUGAAGAAGGUCUUCGGAUUGUAAAGCACUUUAAGUUGGGAGGAAGGGCAGUAAGUUAAUACCUUGCUGUUUUGACGUUACCAACAGAAUAAGCACCGGCUAACUUCG